rnacentral:rRNA from 1 species
UACGGGAGGCAGCAGUGGGGAAUAUUGCACAAUGGGCGAAAGCCUGAUGCAGCUAUGCCGCGUGUAUGAAGAAGGCCUUAGGGUUGUAAAGUACUUUCAUCGGGGAGGAAAAACAAAACUAAUAAUUUUAUUUCUUGACGUUACCCGAAAAAGAAGCACCGGCUAACUCCGUGCCAGCAGCCGCGGUAAUACGGAGGGUGCUAGCGUUAAUCAGAAUUACUGGGCGUAAAGAGCACGUAGGUGGUUUUUUUAAGUCAGAUGUGAAUCCCUGGGCUUAACCUGGAACUGCAUUUUGAAACUGAAAUACUAGAGUAUCGUAGAGGGAGGUAGAAUUCUAGGUGUAGCGGUGAAAUGCGUAGAUAUCUGGAGGAUACCUGUGGCGAAAGCGGCCUCCUAAACGAAUACUGACACUGAGGUGCGAAAGCGUGGGGAGCGAAACAGGGAUUAGAUACC